rfam:Populus trichocarpa isolate Nisqually-1 chromosome 1, whole genome shotgun sequence.
UUAUUUAUCUGAGGCAAAUCCUCAUCUAGUUGUAGUAGACCCACAUCUGACUGCUUAGAAUCACUAGUUAUCGUAGGAUCGACUAUAUCAAAAUUGGUUGGUUUCUUGUUUUCAAAAAGAAUUAAAAUUUGAUGCAGAUGAAAGCUAAAAA